rnacentral:lncRNA from 1 species
GUAAAGACUGGUUAACCAUACACAAUUUAUUCAUAGUUAAAUGUUUUAAAAAUAGUGGACAUUCUGUUUCAGAAAAAAAUAAGUCUUGCUUGUUCUUUCCUGCUGCUCAGAUCCCGGUAAAAACUUGGAAAAAUAAUUGUGCAUUUUAAGUAAUACACCUGACUUUUUGAAACUUGAUAACACAGUGCUCAGAAAUGUGAC